rnacentral:rRNA from 1 species
CACGUAGGCGGAUCGAUCAGUUAGGGGUGAAAUCCCAGGGCUCAACCUGGGAACUGCAUCCAAAACUGGCGAGCUAGAGUACGGUAGAGGGUGGUGGAAUUUCCUGUGUAGCGGUGAAAUGCGUAGAUAUAGGAAGGAACACCAGUGGCGAAGGCGACCACCUGGACUGAUACUGACACUGAGGUGCGAAAGCGUGGGGAGCAAACA